GUCCAGUUUAGCCAGAUGUGCUAAAAUACCACAUUCAAAUUAAGUCAUUGUGAUUUAUUUUGAUGUAAACACGCCUUCUUUGUGUACUUACUCUCAUUACAAAGUGCACCUUAUUCACAAAAUAAAACCUGGUGCAAUUACCAUUGAGCUAUUGCUACAUUUUUCCCAAUAAUAACACAAAAAUGAUCAAAUGAAGGAUAAGAAUAACCAGGCAAAUUGUGUUCAUUCUUAGUAACUUCCUAGGGUAUCAGGGUGAUCCUGAAUGCUUAGAAUUUGCAGCAUAGCUUAGCAAAACACAGCAACUUUGUAGGUGGAACAGAUUUCACAGUUGUACUGUAACUACUACAGUUUAUCAUAUAGUUUCAUAUAGUGCUAAAUGAACUGCCAUUUUCCUUCAUACACAUCGGUAAGGUCAGCUAUCCUCUUAAUUUUAUUCACACAUCUCUUUGAAGGUAGAGCAGUGUCCUUAGUACUUUCCAUAUGAAAGGCCCUUAAUUGAAACUAGCAUUCAUCUCAAGUAUUCAUCUGAGCCAAAGCAUAAAGCCUCAUCCUAUUCUCUUUCAGGCCACUGCUAAGCAACAACCUACAGAGGAUUUUUUUUUUUUUUUUUUUUUUUUUUUUUUACUGCUUGAAGGGUUGCGGUGAGAGAGGCUUGCAUAAUGAUGCUUUGAGGGGGUCUGUUUUCCUUUCGAUGAAGGUUUAGGGGAUAGAGGUGAAAAGCUAUGUUUAUCUCACUGUGAUCCUCAGACUUUUCAUUUCUUCUGGGACUGAGAGUGUCAGAAGGGCUUUUGGUGAUCGUUGGGGAAUUGGGAGGAAGUAGAGAUGGACAUGGCAAAGCAUGCGGAUAACCGACAUUCCAGGCAAGAAAACACCAUCGGUUAUGUACAAAGGUUCCUGUGUUGCUCCUGCUUCCAGACGGGUGAGAAUGACUGCUUGGAGUACAAUCAGGAAAAGCCACAGAAUCCCAAGGCUGUUGUGGAUGAAGAGAACGUCCUUAUCGUUGUUGAAGAUUUGGGAAUAGACAACCCUGGAUUUAGCCUUUCUGAAGUUGAGCACUGCGGUCCACCUCAACAGAUCACCAUGGGCCGUUCUGCUAGUUCUGUGUCUAUGUGCCAAAGAGCAGCUCUGAAGAAGAAGCUCGCACCACUUUCCUCUUUACCGCUUCAGUCUAGAGCGAUCCAGAACAGUGAGGACGACUCUACUGUUGACUCUCUCCUGUACGGUUCUGGCAGCACUAAUGUUGGAGAUGGUAGUCUUCUCACUCCACCAGUCAUUAACCUCAUACCUCCGACACCUUCCGACGUAAUAGAUGAUGAUCAGUUCUUUGACAUAAACUCAGAAGAAGACAGUCUGCAGCAAACGUCAGGCAGCGAAGGAGUAGACAGUAUUGGCAGUGCUGCUAUGGGAGAGCAAGAGAGUGAGGAAGAUGUAGACCAAGACUUGGAGUCUGAAGGUAAUCAUAAGACCAAAGAUGAAGAACAUCCACAGGUGGAGCCUCCAGAGGAAGAAAUGGCCAAGAAGAAGAGCAUAGACAAGUCUACAAUCCACUUCCUGCGUAGCACCUUUCAUGUACCCCCUCUUCCUGAAUACCCACGAAAAAGGAGCCUCAAUACUGGAAUCAGUUUGCUGCAGUUCACUGAACAUAAUCUAGAUGACCUGAGCAACAAGGAUGCCUGCAGCCAUGAGUUGCUAAAGGAAGAGUUGAGGCUACUACCGCUGAGCAGUAAGAUAAGCAUGUUAACACACCAAAAGAAACCUGCCACUAGGUCCUGUAGUUUGGGCGAUACGGCGCAACAAAGUCAUACCUUUCACUCCACAUGUCAAGAAAGAGAUGAAAUCCUUGAAGAUGAGGAAUCCCCACGCCAAAGGAGGAUAACUGUUGCAUCAUACAUUCCGCAGUCCAAAGACCAUACUGGAAAAAGUGUAGUGAAGUCGAAUUCUAAUGGGUAUAGAGCCAAAUCUUUAGCAGAGCUGAACACAGAGGAGGUUUGCCAGUGGUUUAGUAAUAUUGGUCUACAGAAAUGCCUGCCCUUCAUUAGAGAGGCAGAGUUCAGUGGGUCCCACAUCGCUUCUAUUGAUCUCAACACCCUCGAAAUCCUUCAAGUGUCCAAUCUGGAGGAAAGAGAGAGGCUGCUGUCUGCCAUUUACCAUGAGUUACACCCGCCAAACUCCACCACCCAAAGACUCGACUCCCUCCUUGAAAGAUUUGGUCCACACAAUGUUGAGAAAUUCACAGCAGCUUUGGUUUCCAUGACCAAGUCAAAAUCUUCUCCUCAAGUUAGCAGCAUCAACAUGAACCAAUGUUCAUUCAAAUUCAGACAGAAAGAACAAAAUGCAAAAAUUCAGAAGAACUCGCAUCUCAUUGAAAUCACAGUCAAUGUGUCAGAUCGAACAGUUCAUUUAAGGACCCCCAAAGAGACAAGUGUGGGAAAAGUGGUGGAGUCCUGUCUGAGGAUGCUGGGAAUUAAUGAAGACAAAGAUCACUUCAACCUAAAAAGCAGUGAAGAUGAGUUCUCCCCUGAGCAGCAGAUUGGAGAUUUGCCUGGCUCAGAGACGAGACUAAUGGAGCUUCACUUAUAUAGGAAGGAAACACAGAAAGUGGGUCCUUAUUCAUCAGAUAACAACAUUAUUAGUACCACUGACAAUAUUCCGUGCAAAAAUCUGCUAAACAACACUGGGAAGAUUCAAAAGCUAAAUCAACAGGUGGCCUCCCUUCAAAACGUCAUCAUACAGGUUCAGGAGCUUUACCAUGGUCUGGUAGCCUUCUGUUCAGAGCUGAAGAAGAUGGAGGGGGAGAUGGAUGCAGUGCAAACAGACAGCUUUGAAGUGAAGAGGCUUCUCAGUGAGGCCCAGGACAAUCUGCAAAGGAAAAGACAGAGUCUUCAAACGCUCAGGGACAAUCUUAACACUGCACCAGUGCAGAAGAAUAAGCCAUCAGAGGUCCGACUUCUGGAGAAGAUGAGGCUAAACUGCCAGGUGUUUAAAGACGAGAUCACACUAGUCCACCUCAAUCGACAGGUGGCUCACCUGCGUGAAGUUCUGGAGAAGACACAGGCCAAGGAGAAAGCCAAGAGGAAGAGCCCUACUCUGACUCAGCUGGUCUCUUUGCAGUCUCCUGUCAUGCUGGUGGCCACCCAAGUGAAAGCAGACCCAGACGGUCAUUACGGUUUCUCUGCGCACUGGGUAGAGGGCCAGGGCCUGAUGGUGGUACAUAGUGAGGGUGCUAAUCUCUGCCUGAAUGACAGGCUGGUGGAGGUUAACGGAGUGGACGUCUUGGGGAGCAGUGAGGAUGAGUUGGAGCUGAUGCUUAAGACACACACUGCCCACAUUGUUGUUCUUCGCCAGCUGGCCCAAGAACUUCCACAGGAAGACCCAUCUGCCCCCACUUCAGACAGAUUUCUGCUCUGAGGGAUCAACAGGACAUACAAAUGCUGCAGAAACAUCAAGCAAUGUAAACCAACUAAACACUGUCCAGAUUAAUACUUUCUUUCCUGUCUUACUGGAGGAACACACUCAGACACACCUGAAUUGGUCAUAUCUUAUGUUUUAUCCCACUUAUUACUAUAAUGACAUUUGUCUUGUAAGAGAAGAGGAUUAUAUGUUCACCCUGCAUUACAGUCUCUGGGUCAUUUCAGGGCAGUUUCAUUUUUGGGUGUUUUUGGGUUUAUACAAAUGUAAUAGCCAUAGUCUCAAUUAAUGGGUGGGUCAGUCAAAAACUGCUCAUAAAAAUGGCAAUUUUUGGCAAAAUGGGCAUUUUGAAUUCUAAAUUGCAUUGAACCAUGAAGGUCAAGUUGGCAAAAUAACUUUCACUUUGUACACUUUUUUAAAAAGCAGCUGUGGUGAAAUAGGAGGCAAGGAAACUUCCUGUAAGACUGACAUUAAUAAAAAUACAGAUAUCAAAGCA
ensembl:lncRNA